AAAAAUUCAAAGCUGAGUAGGCAUAGUUAUUUUCGUCUUCGGUGCCGUCAUAUUGAUCAAUGUAGUUUCAAUGUGUUUCAAAUACCGACAAGCUGAGUGCAAGCUAUAUACAAUUAAACUUCAAACAAAAAAAAAACAAAAAAAAAUAGAACGACAAAGAAAAAAAACCACGCGACAAGUAGUAAAAGCCAGUGGGAAAGAAAGAGCAGUUGCCAGGCCUGAAUGCAGGUCCCAUAGGCAAAAGUUAAGCGGAAAAGUGAGCCAGCAUCGCAGCGCCGUAGCCGUAGUCGUUGAACAAUUGACCAGAAAAACGUAUAGUUCUGCAAUCAAAAAUCAAACAAACAUAAAAAAACUAUUCCUUUAUAAUAAUGUGAUUAUAUUACAAAAAAAAAAAUAUAUAUAUAUAUAGAAAAGGAAAAAAACCGACGACGAUCUAACUUUUUUAACCAUGAGCAAGAACUUUUGUUUUUCCCAGCCGAUCGCCGCAGCCAAAGAUCUUUCGCCGCCGGAAUUGGAUUUACUGUAAGUGCUUUAUCAUAUAUAUUGUUGCAUUCUACCCUUUAUUUAGUUAUUUCGUCAUCAGCAAUACGCAAUGCGCUUUAGAAGCUGAAGUAAU